UACGUAGGGUGCAAGCGUUGUCCGGAAUUAUUGGGCGUAAAGAGCUCGUAGGCGGUUUGUCGCGUCUGCUGUGAAAACUGGGGGCUCAACCCCCAGCCUGCAGUGGGUACGGGCAGACUAGAGUGCGGUAGGGGAGAUUGGAAUUCCUGGUGUAGGCGGUGGAAUGCGCAGAUAUCAGGAGGAACACCGAUGGCGAAGGCAGAUCUCUGGGCCGUAACUGACGCUGAGGAGCGAAAGCAUGGGGAGCGAACAGG
rnacentral:rRNA from 1 species